rnacentral:rRNA from 1 species
AGGGUGCAGGGCGAAUGCCUUGGCACUAGGAGCCGAUGAAGGACGUGAUAAGCUGCGAUAAGCUUCGGGGAGUUGCACGUAAACUUUGAUCCGAAGAUUUCCGAAUGAGGAAACUCACUUAGAGUAAUGUCUAAGUAUCGUAUGAUGAAUACAUAGUCAUGCGAGGGGAACCCGGAGAACUGAAACAUCUAAGUACCCGGAGGAAGAGAAAGAAAUUCGAUUCCGUAAGUAGCGGCGAGCGAACGCGGAACAGGCCAAACCAGUGAAGUUUUCUUCGCUGGGGUUGCGGACAUAUCAUAACGAAGAGGUAUCGUAGAGGAAGAGAGUUGGAAAGCUCCGCCAUAGAUGGUAACAGCCCAGUACUUUAAACGAGAAGACUUUAGAUAUGAUCCAGAGUACCACGGGACACGUGAAACCCUGUGGGAAGCAGGAGGGACCAUCCUCCAAGCCUAAAUACUACCCAGUGACCGAUAGCGUAUAGUACCGUGAGGGAAAGGUGAAAAGAACCCCGGGAGGGGAGUGAAAGAGAACCUGAAACCCUGCACUUACAAGCUGUAGGAGCACAUUUCUUGUGUGACUGCGUACUUUUUGUAGAACGGGCCAACGAGUUACGUUGUGUAGCAAGGUUAAGCACUUAAGGUGUGGAGCCGUAGCGAAAGCGAGUCUUAAAUGGGCGUCUAGUUACCCGACGUAGACCCGAAACCGGGUGACCUAUCCAUGAGCAGGUUGAAGCGAAAGUAAAAUUUCGUGGAGGACCGAACCCACGUACGUUGAAAAGUGCGGGGAUGACUUGUGGAUAGCGGUGAAAUUCCAAUCGAGCCUGGAGAUAGCUGGUUCUCCCCGAAAUAGCUUUAGGGCUAGCCUCAAGAUUAGAGAAGCGGAGGUAGAGCACUGAAUGUCCUAGGGGGUAUUGCACUUACCGAAGACUAUCAAACUCCGAAUGCCGUAUUCUUUUGCUUGGGAGUCAGACUAUGGGUGAUAAGAUUCAUAGUCAAGAGGGCAACAGCCCAGAUCGUCAGCUAAGGUCCCUAAAUGUAAGUUAAGUGGUAAAGGAUGUGGAAUUGCACAGACAACCAGGAUGUUGGCUUAGAAGCAGCCACUCAUUUAAAGAGUGCGUAAUAGCUCACUGGUCGAGUGAUUGUGCGCCGAAAAUGUACCGGGGCUAAACUGUGUACCGAAGUCUAGGGAUCGUGAUAAACGAUCGGUAGGGGAGCAACGUGUGCGGGCUGAAGCCGAAGCGGAAGCGACGGUGGACUGCACGGGAGAGAGAAUGCCGGCAUGAGUAGCGAGAGCAAAGUGAGAAUCUUUGCCGUCGAAAGCCUAAGGUUUCCUGAGGAAGGCUCGUCCUCUCAGGGUAAGUCAGGACCUAAGCCGAGGACAAAAGUCGUAGGCGAUGGACAACUGGUUGAUAUUCCAGUACCACCUUUAGCGUUUGACUGAAGCAGUGACACAGAAGGAUAGACAGAGCGCGUGACUGGUAGAGCGCGUCCAAGCGAUGAGGGAGUUAAGUAGUGAAGCACGCUUAACAAUCCUGGGUCGUGAUGGGGACUGAAAAUAAGUAGGGAAGCUGUUGAAUUCACGCUGGCGAGAAAAGCUGCUAAGGAGCGAAAGGGUGCCUGUACCGCAAACCGACACAGGUAGGCGAGGAGAGAAUCCUAAGACGAGCGGGAGAACCCAUGUUAAGGAACUCGGCAAAAUGACCCUGUAACUUCGGGAUAAAGGGAGCCACGAGAGUGGCCGCAGAGAAUAGGCCCAAGCGACUGUUUACCAAAAACACAGGUCUGUGCGAAGUAGAGAUACGACGUAUACGGGCUGACGCCUGCCCAGUGCCGGAAGGUUAAGGGGAAGUGUUAGGGCAACCGAAGCACGGAACUUAAGCCCCGGUGAACGGCGGCCGUAACUAUAACGGUCCUAAGGUAGCGAAAUUCCUUGUCGGGUAAGUUCCGACCCGCACGAAUGGUGUAACGACUUGUGAGCUGUCUCAACAGGGGGCCCGGUGAAAUUGAAGUAUGGGUGAAGAUGCCCAUUACCCGCGACUGGACGGAAAGACCCCGUAGAGCUUUACUGCAGCCUGAUAUUGAGUUUCGGUAACUGAUGCACAGGAUAGGUGGGAGUCUGAGAGACAUGGGUUUCGGCUCGUGAGGAGACGCUGUUGGGAUACCACUCUUCGGUUACUGAAAUUCUAACAUAGCUCUGUGAAACCAGAGGAUGGACAGUGUCAGGUGGACAGUUUGACUGGGGCGGUCGCCUCCGAAAGAGUAACGGAGGCGCCCAAAGGUACCCUCAGAAUGGAUGGAAACCAUUCGAAGAGCGCAAAGGCAGAAGGGUGCCUGACUGCGAGAUUGACAAAUCGAGCAGAGACGAAAGUCGGGCUUAGUGAUCCGGCGGUAUUGAGUGGAAAAGCCGUCGCUUAACGGAUAAAAGCUACCUCGGGGAUAACAGGCUGAUCUCCCCCAAGAGUCCACAUCGACGGGGAGGUUUGGCACCUCGAUGUCGGCUCAUCGCAUCCUGGGGCUGUAUUCGGUCCCAAGGGUUUGGCUGUUCGCCAAUUAAAGCGGCACGCGAGCUGGGUUCAGAACGUCGUGAGACAGUUCGGUCCCUAUCCAUCGUGGGCGUAGGAGUCAUGAGAGGAGCUGUUCCUAGUACGAGAGGACCGGAAUGGACGCACCACUGGUGCAACUGUUGUCGUGCCAACGGCAUAGCAGGGAAGCGAAGUGCGGACGGGAUAAACGCUGAAGGCAUCUAAGCGUGAAGCCCACCUCAAGAAUAAGUGU